UACGAAGGGGGCCAGCGUUGCUCGGAAUCACUGGGCGUAAAGGGUGCGUAGGCGGGUCUUUAAGUCAGGGGUGAAAUCCUGGAGCUCAACUCCAGAACUGCCUUUGAUACUGGGGAUCUUGAGUCCGGAAGAGGUGAGUGGAACUCCGAGUGUAGAGGUGAAAUUCGUAGAUAUUCGGAAGAACACCAGUGGCGAAGGCGGCUCACUGGUCCGGUACUGACGCUGAGGUGCGAAAGCGUGGGGAGCAAACAGG
rnacentral:rRNA from 1 species